rnacentral:lncRNA from 1 species
CAUCUUUCUUUCUCACAAACAACACAGGAGCACCCCAAGGAGAAACACUGGGCCUUAUGAAACCUUUAUCUAGUAGAUCUUUGAGUUGCUCUUUCAACUCCUUAAGUUCUGUAGGGGCCAUAUGGUAAGGAGGAAUAGAAAUAGGCUGAGUAUCGGGAAGAAGAUCAAUCCCGAACUCUAUCUCUCUAUCAGGAGGUAUCCCUGGGAGAUCAUCCGAAAAGACAUUAGAAAACUCAUU